GAUGAACGCUGGCGGCGUGCCUAAUACAUGCAAGUCGAGCGAACAGACGCGGAGCUUGUUCGUUUGUCGUUUGCGGCGCAGGGGUGUGUAACAUGUGGAUACUCUCCUUGUAUGAGUGGGAACACUUCGGGAAUGGGGAGCUAAUACCAGAUGAUCUAUUGCACCGCAUGGUUCAAUAGUGAAAGACGGUUUUUCUGUCUGUUAUCGCUGGAUCCGCGCCGUAUUAGCUUGUUGGUGAGGUAAAGGCUUUUCAAGGCGAGUAUGCGUAUCCGAGCUGAGAGACGGAUCGGCCACACUGGAACGUAGACACGCUCCAGACUACUACGGGAGGCAGCAGUAGGGAAUCGGCCGCAGUAGGCGAAAGCCUGACGGAGCAACGCGGCGUGUGUGACAAAGGUCUUCCGAGCGUAAAGCUCUGUUAUUAGGGAAGAACAAAUGUGUAAGUAGCUAUACACGUCUUGACGGUACCUAAUCAGAAAGCCACGGCUAACUACGUG
rnacentral:rRNA from 1 species